rnacentral:rRNA from 1 species
UACGUAGGGUGCGAGCGUUAAUCGGAAUUACUGGGCGUAAAGCGCACGUAGGCGGUUCGAUCAGUCAGGGGUGAAAUCCCAGAGCUCAACUCUGGAACUGCCUUUGAUACUGUCGAUCUGGAGUAUGGAAGAGGUGAGUGGAAUUCCGAGUGUAGAGGUGAAAUUCGUAGAUAUUCGGAGGAACACCAGUGGCGAAGGCGGCUCACUGGUCCAUUACUGACGCUGAGGUGCGAAAGCGUGGGGAGCAAACAGG